GCAGCAGGCGCGAAAACUUUACAAUGCGGGAAACCGUGAUAAGGGGACACCGAGUGCCAGCAUCAUAUGCUGGCUGUCCGGGUGUGUAAAAUACACCCGUUAGCAAGGGCCGGGCAAGACCGGUGCCAGCCGCCGCGGUAACACCGGCGGCCCGAGUGGUGAUCGUGAUUAUUGGGUCUAAAGGGUCCGUAGCCGGUUUGGUCAGUCCUCCGGGAAAUCUGACGGCUCAACCGUUAGGCUUUCGGGGGAUACUGCCAGGCUUGGAACCGGGAGAGGUAAGAGGUACUACAGGGGUAGGAGUGAAAUCUUGUAAUCCCUGUGAGACCACCUGUGGCGAAGGCGUCUUACCAGAACGGGUUCGACGGUGAGGGACGAAAGCUGGGGGCACGAACCGGAUUAGAUACCCGGGUAGUCCCAGCCGUAAACGAUGCUCGCUAGGUGUCAGGCAUGGCGCGACCGUGUCUGGUGCCGCAGGGAAGCCGUGAAGCGAGCCACCUGGGAAGUACGGCCGCAAGGCUGAAACUUAAAGGAAUUGGCGGGGGAGCAC
rnacentral:rRNA from 1 species